rnacentral:rRNA from 1 species
GACGUAGGGCGCGAGCGUUGUCCGGAUUUAUUGGGCGUAAAGAGCUCGUAGGCGGCUUGUCGCGUCGUCCGUGAAAACCUGCGGCUCAACUGCAGGCUGGCGGUCGAUACGGGCAGGCUGGAGUUCGGUAGGGGAGACUGGAAUUCCUGGUGUAGCGGUGAAAUGCGUAGAUAUCGGGAGGAACACCAGUGGCGAAGGCGACUACCUGGCCUGUUCUUGACGCUGAGGCGCGAAAGCUAGGGGAGCAAACGGG